rnacentral:lncRNA from 1 species
GCUGCUCAGAGAGGUUGUGGAUGCCCUGUCCCUAGAGGUGUUCGAUGCCAGGUUGUGUGGGGCCCUGGGCAGUCUGGUCUAGUAUUAGAUGUGGAGGUUGGCAGCCCUGCCUGUGGCAAGGGAUUGGAACUUGAUGAUCCUUGAGGUCCCUUCCAACCCAAGCCAUUCUGUGAUUCUAUGAUUUCUCUGAACCCCACAUCUUUGACUGGCUGCAGCUUUGGAGUUUUUACUGGGAUGCUUUUUUUGUGGGGUGAAACACCUGUUGAUUCAAAUGGAUGAACCAAGAGUGAGCUGAACCUACAGCUGGGAUGGAAUUUACCAACUUCGCUAGCAAGGGCAAAGACCCUUCUAACUACUGUACAUCUGCAAACUUGAAGACUUAGAGCUCCAAUAUCAUAUUUUUGUAUUUACCUAAAGUAAUGGCUACAUGAGCUUUUGCAAGCAGAAGUGAGCUUCUUCCUCCAUCUUUACUCUGAGCUGAGUGGAAGCCAUAUAGCAAACUAGCAUGGCAUUAGGCCUAAACUAAUAUAGCCUGCUUCCCAGCUGAACUUUAUUAGCUUGGGCUUGGUGCCCUACUAACCACAGCUGUGGGUUUCUUGUCAGCUUGGAGUACAGGCAAAACAAGCUCGUGCCUCUUUAUAGGUAGUCCUAUAGGAUUUUAAUGCUUGUGAAUAGUGCUAGCGUUAGAAAGUUGAAUGUUUCUUCUUUCUCUUCUCAACAAAUUACAGAAGAAAAAAGAUGGAUGCAUUUUUUUGUUCAUCCUUCAAGGGGAGGAGAUGGAGGCUCACAUAUCAGUGAGAAAAAAAGCUAUUCAAGGAGUGUUUAUAUUCCUGUUAUCUACUGUAGUCAGUCCUUGAACAUCAAGUCUGGGACCCCUGAAAAGGAGCAGGUGGCGCAGGCUUUCAGAGGGGAAAGAAGGAACCAGGACCACUGAGUCAGCAAACUUUAUUUCCCCUUGUUGUUGUGUUUGGAAGUCCAAGGUAUAUUGUUAUUGCUACGUGACCUGGCUGUCACGAGUUAUUUCACCAUCCCAUGCUUCCUGCUAAUCAGUCAGUGGAGAGCUGCACUGGGACUGAUAACAAUGAGAACAGCAUAGAGGCAAAUUAAGAAAAUACUUUGAAUGGACCGCUUGAAUGAAAACAUGCUGCAUGUAAUUGGCUGUCACUAAUUAAAGAUGUGGAGGU